GGUUAGCUAUUUUAGGCCCUGCUCAUGCGAAUAUUUUAAUAGUUAAGUGGGUCGGUGACACUAGCUGUCAGUAGCAGAAGAGAUGCCUUAAAUAAUAACUGACAUACCCCUUUUUAAUUCUCGUUUAAAUUCAAAUGCUGUCAAUUUUGAGGCUACCAGAAGGUAAUUUUAACCCACAAAAAAACGCCCAGUUUUUGCUUCGCUUCUUCUUUCAAGAUCUCAUUGAUCUGUAGCCUGUCAGCAAGAUAAACCGCUUACUUCAGUCGCGCGACCAACAAUAAACUGAAUUAACAAUUUCCUUCAAAGUUCUAAAGUCCCUUGAACUAUUUCCUCUUCCAAACAGUUGCUUUUGAAAAAAUAAGCGUGAAGUUGUGAAAGGUGAAUCUAAAGUGACUUUGAAAUGAAUGCAAGUUCCGUUGUUGUCGUUACUUUUCUUCUCCCGAGAGUAUCUCACAAUCAACACACCUAACCAUUAAAGUUAUCAGCUGAACACGGUGAUGAAAUUUCGUCAGGUUCAUCAUUUUCGUACGGAAACAGCCUUUCACGCGAAACCGUUACGCGCUAACCAGACAAGACAAUUCGCAAACAUUGCGAGUUUCCUUUCUUUUCAAAAAGAGUUUUGGUUACCACGUCAAACGGGAGUGACAUUCACUUCUAAUAUUCAUUCGACUUAUUCAAAUUAGUGGAGCAAACAUUACUAAGAGGAGAAGUAGGCCACUGAAAACAUUUCAGCCGCGUAGCUUUUCGUUCGCGUGUUGAAAGAGCUGUUGAUUGCGUUGAGCGAGGAAAACGUCGUUGAAUUGUUCUUGAUCCAUGGUUGAACCCCCCUAAAAUGGGCCACUGACCAUUUUGACUAGAAGGCGAGAAUUCUUUCCUUAGCAGGUGUCCAUGAAACCUGUCGUUCCUGGAGAUGUCAGCAGUCAUCAAUUUCGUUGCAGAUGGACAAUCGCUCAAACGACAGAACAACCAUGUUUUUAGCACUUCUCUUUAGAAAUACCCCACAUGAUUCGUAUCACUAGUUUAUUUAGAUUUCAGGUCAUAAUCUUCGAUAUAACUCAACCGCAGAGUUAAUAAUGUGUUCGUAUUUGAAAAUGAAACCUUUUUGUGUGGUUCAAGUGUUUCAGAAUAAGUCACCUAGAUGGUUGCACCUGCUCUUGACUUUUCAUGCGACUAGCUCGAGACAAAAGGUUAAAAAUGAUUGCAAAGCCAGUUAACGAACAAAAAUUUACACAAUUUUGGUCAACUUCACAUCUAAUUUCUACAGGGCUUAAUAUGAAAAUUUUGAACAAAAGCUUUAGUUAAACGUCUAUGAUUGUUUAGUUGAUUUAUAUCAUUAUCGUGUUUUGAAAACACUGAACUGUAAGACUAAAAAGAAGAGGACCACUGCUUCCUCUACGAAUUAAUUAUGGAUAAACAACUUCUCCGUGUUUUCAGCUCUAUAUUUUUGUGUUCAAAACGAAUGAAUUGUACUUUCCAGUUAUUUUAGAAGAUAGAAGUUUUAACCUUCCAAUAUUCUUAAAUAUUCCAACUAUAGUUGCAGAGAAUAGUGGUCUUUCACUCAGUUACAAGAUUUUUCGAAAUGCUUUACUUUUGCAGAAUCCCUUAGCACUACGAAGGAUCUGUAGAGCAAUUUCUUUUUUACUCCUAAUUACCAAAGCUUUGUUUUGUACAGUUUAACACAAACUCCCGCAGGUCCAAACUAUUUAGCACCUGCUCCACCCUGUGAAAUCCACCUCAAAGGUUGGUAUGGGAAAAUAUGGAACAAUUUGGAAAUUUAAAGACCGGGUUUUGAUAAAUAAAUUUUUUAAAGAGUCGCUAUCCUUUUUCGUCGAUUAUCGUGUCUUAUAGUAUUUCAAAUAAUGACCCGAUAAUUCUAAAUAUUUUAUAGAAGAUCUUCUCAUUUAUCAAAUAUGCGUUCUGAGUACAUUUUGAAUCAUGAAAGCUAGAUUUUUUAGCCUACAGAACCCAACAAGCAUAAACGGAAGCCAGUUCUAAGCUUCUACAAACAAAGGCUUUGUUUAAUAGUAUAACCAUUUAAUUAACCAAUUAGAUAAUUAAACUAAAUGUUUUGUUUUGAGGUAAUUAAUAAAAUAGGUUCACAUUGUUGUGUCUCUGCAAAA
rnacentral:lncRNA from 1 species